AGGGAUUGCCCUAGUAACGGCGAGUGAAGCGGCAACAGCUCAAAUUUGAAAUCUGGCCUUCUGGUCCGAAUUGUAAUUUGUAGAGGAUGACUUUGGUUAGGUACCUUUCGAGUUCCUUGGAACAGGACGCCUUAGAGGGUGAGAAUCCCGUAUGUGGUCGGUCGUUUUCACCAUGUGAAGCUCCUUCGACGAGUCGAGUAGUUUGGGAAUGCUGCUCUAAAUGGGAGGUAAAUUUCUUCUAAAGCUAAAUACCGGCCAGAGACCGAUAGCGCACAAGUAGAGUGAUCGAAAGAUGAAAAGCACUUUGAAAAGAGGGUUAAAUAGUACGUGAAAUUGUUGAAAGGGAAGGGUUUAUGACCAGACCUUUGCGUUGGGAAUCAUCCGGUGUUCUCACCGGUGCACUUCCCUUCGUUGAGGCCAGCAUCAGUUUCUGGCGGGGGAUAAAGACUUAAGGAAUGUGAUUCCCCCGGGAAUGUUAUAGCCUUCUGUGUAAUACCCUGCCGGGGACUGAGGACCGCGCUUCGGCUAGGAUGCUGGCAUAAUGGUCAUCAGCCACCC
rnacentral:rRNA from 1 species